UACGGGGGGAGCAAGCGUUGUUCGGAUUUACUGGGCGUAAAGGGCGCGUAGGCGGCCACCGCAAGUCGACUGUGAAAUCCCUCGGCUUAACCGAGGAACUGCCCUCCAAACUGCUUGGCUUGAGUCCGGGAGAGGUGAGUGGAAUUCCCAGUGUAGGGGUGAAAUGCGUAGAUAUUGGGAGGAACACCAGUGGCGAAGGCGGCUCACUGGACCGGAACUGACGCUGAGGCGCGAAAGCGUGGGGAGCAAACGGG
rnacentral:rRNA from 1 species